rnacentral:siRNA from 1 species
UAAAGAGGACGUGAUGAGAUAUGU